rnacentral:rRNA from 1 species
UACGGAGGGUGCGAGCGUUGUCCGGAAUCAUUGGGCGUAAAGGGCGCGUAGGUGGCCCCUCAAGCGUGCGGUGAAAGUCAGGGGCUCAACCCCUGAUCGGCCGUGCGAACUGGGGAGCUUGAGCACUGUAGAGGCGGGUGGAAUUCCGGGUGUAGCGGUGGAAUGCGUAGAGAUCCGGAAGAACACCAGUGGCGAAGGCGGCCCGCUGGGCAGUGGCUGACGCUGAGGCGCGACAGCGUGGGGAGCAAACAGG